rnacentral:rRNA from 1 species
AGUGAACGCUGGCGGUAGGCCUAACACAUGCAAGUCGAACGGCAGCACAGUAAGAGCUUGCUCUUACGGGUGGCGAGUGGCGGACGGGUGAGGAAUACAUCUGAAUCUACUUUUUCGUGGGGGAUAACGUAGGGAAACUUACGCUAAUACCGCAUACGACCUACGGGUGAAAGCAGGGGAUCUUCGGACCUUGCGCGAUUGAAUGAGCCGAUGUCGGAUUAGCUAGUUGGCGGGGUAAAGGCCCACCAAGGCGACGAUCCAUAGCUGGUCUGAGAGGAUGAUCAGCCACACUGGAACUGAGACACGGUCCAGACUCCUACGGGAGGCAGCAGUGGGGAAUAUUGGACAAUGGGCGCAAGCCUGAUCCAGCCAUACCGCGUGGGUGAAGAAGGCCUUCGGGUUGUAAAGCCCUUUUGUUGGGAAAGAAAAGCAGCAGGUUAAUACCCCGCUGUUCUGACGGUACCCAAAGAAUAAGCACCGGCUAACUUCGUG